rnacentral:rRNA from 1 species
AAUAUUGCACAAUGGGCGCAAGCCUGAUGCAGCGACGCCGCGUGAGGGAUGACGGCCUUCGGGUUGUAAACCUCUUUCAGUAGGGAAGAAGCGAAAGUGACGGUACCUGCAGAAGAAGCGCCGGCUAAAUACGUGCCAGCAGCCGCGGUAAUACGUAGGGGGCAAGCGUUAUCCGGAAUUAUUGGGCGUAAAGAGCUCGUAGGCGGUUUGUCGCGUCUGCCGUGAAAGUCCGGGGCUCAACUCCGGAUCUGCGGUGGGUACGGGCAGACUAGAGUGAUGUAGGGGAGACUGGAAUUCCUGGUGUAGCGGUGAAAUGCGCAGAUAUCAGGAGGAACACCGAUGGCGAAGGCAGGUCUCUGGGCAUUAACUGACGCUGAGGAGCGAAAGCAUGGGGAGCGAACAGGAUUAGAUACCCUGGUAGUCCAUGCCGUAAACGUUGGGCACUAGGUGUGGGGGACAUUCCACGUUUUCCGCGCCGUAGCUAACGCAUUAAGUG